rnacentral:rRNA from 1 species
AAUUUUGGACAAUGGGGGAAACCCUGAUCCAGCCAUCCCGCGUGUAUGAUGAAGGCCUUCGGGUUGUAAAGUACUUUUGGCAGAGAAGAAAAGUUAUCUCCUAAUACGAGAUACUGCUGACGGUAUCUGCAGAAUAAGCACCGGCUAACUACGUGCCAGCAGCCGCGGUAAUACGUAGGGUGCAAGCGUUAAUCGGAAUUACUGGGCGUAAAGCGUAUGUAGGCGGUUCGGAAAGAAAGAUGUGAAAGCCCAGGGCUCAACCUUGGAACUGCAUUUUUAACCGCCGAGCUAGAGGAUGGAAGAGGGGGGUAGAAUUCCAGGUGUAGCAGUGAAAUGCGUAAAAAUGUGGAGGAAAACCGAUGGCGAAGGCAGCCCCCUGGGAUAAUACUGACGCUCAGACACGAAAGCGUGGGGAGAAAAAAG